AGCGUUGUUCGGAAUUACUGGGCGUAAAGCGCACGUAGGCGGAUUGCUAAGUCAGGGAUGAAAUCCUGGAGCUCAACUCCAGAACUGCCCUUGAUACUGGCAACCUCGAGUCCGGGAGAGGUGAGUGGAACUGCGAGUGUAG
rnacentral:rRNA from 1 species